GUGCUUUCUUUGACGAAUUGAUGCUUUUGAGUUGUGCUGCUAGAGAAAACUCUUGAGAAUCCUUUGGACAGCAUGGAGAUCAAACCAGUCAAUUCUAAAGGAAAUCAACCCUGAAUAUUCAUUGGAAGGACUGAUGCUGAAGCUGACGCUCUAAUACUUUGGCCACCUGAUGCGAAGAGCUGACUCUGAUCAGGAAAAGACCCUGAUGCUGGGAAAGACUGAGGGCAGGAGGAAAAGGGAUGCAAUGGUUGGAUAGCAUCACUGACUCAAUGGACAAGAAUUUGAGCAAAUUCUAGAACACAGUGAAGGAGAGGAAGCCUGGCGUGCUGCGAUUCAUGGGGUCACAAAGAGUUGGACACAACUGAGCAACUGAACUGAACUGAACUGAUGGCUAGGAUAUUCUUUUAAAGGUCGCACCCUGCCCCCUUCCCUCCAGUUUCACAUGGAAGUUGUUAAGGCCAGUUUGGGCUCCUUCUGCCCUAUCCCCAGUCACCUCCCCAGCCAUUGUCUUUCCCCACUGCUCAGCCUGAGGAGCCCUCUCUUUGCUGCUGACCAGGGCUCAGGCUCCCUGGCCAAUCUCCAGGACAGAGAAUUCUACAGCUGUGCAGCCUUGGCCAAUGUCCAUUUUCUGGGCACUGCACUGAUUCAUAAGACUCAGUGACUUGUGGCUUUCUCUUCCCCACCCUAGACCCGAUAAGGACAAAAAGCAUUGUUUCUUUUCCGGCUCAGCCGUCAAGCACAGGGUGACUGCCCCUUUGCACAAGCUGAGCCUCUCUUCCACCCCUGCCUCCACAGCCUCCCCUCGGCAUCUAGCCAGAAGCCCUGGAAGAUCACAGGGCUGGAUCAACCACUUAGGAAAAGAAUUUCUCUGCCUGAAGCUGAACAACCGUAACAGCAACAGCUUACAUUCCUUUAGUUUCUAGAAGUAGAAUUUUAGAUUCCAGAGGCUAUUGACUCAAUUAUCGUGCAUGUGUUCAUCCAUCGUUCAUCAAACCUCUGUGGACUACAGACUCCACUGCCUUGUGUGCCUAGCACUGUGCUAGGUCAUAAUCUAGCAGGACCCUUGUGCGGAUGCCUCUGCUACAAAGAGGAGUAAGGCAAAUGCCCCGCCCCACCCCACCUCACCUAAAAGAAGCAGUUAGAAAAAAAAGUCACUCUCACUUGGCUAAGUGGUCAAUGACUUUAUUGAACACUACUGUUUUCCUGUAUUGAUCAUAUAGCUACCCUCACAAUAAAAUUUUGAGGUAGGUAUUAGAUCACUUCACCUGCAAUGUGAGAGACACAGAAGACAUGGGUUUGAUCCCUGGGUCGGGAAGAUCCCCUGGAGAAGGACAUGGCAACACACUCCAGUAUUCUGACCUGAACAGAGGCUAGAAUCCCAUGGACAGAGGAACGUUGCAGGCUACAGUCGAUGGGGUCACAGAGUGCACGAUUGAGUGACUACACACGUAAGAUCACUUGCACAAGGGGAAGAAGACAGAGACUUUCCUAAGGUCACACAGCUACUGAGCCUGUGUUCUUUCUCCUGACCUUGCUGGCAGUACCAGGAUAAACACUGCAGGCUCAGUCCACAGAAAAACUCAGGGAAAGCCAACCCCCUGGGGUCCUACCCAGACUUCCUACCUCUCCUCCACUGGCCCCACUCUCAUUCCCUCUCCAUUCCUUCAUUCAGUGAGUCAGUCAAUCAGACAAUUGUUGAGCACCUAUUAGGUGCAAAGCUCUUUGGGGCAGUAGGGAAAUGGCUCAUAAAAGACUUAGUCACCAAAAACUCUCAUAGCCUAAUAGAAGAGUAUACAUAAAUAAUUAUGAUGCCAGGUGAAAAGUAUGAUGCCAGGUGAAAAGGUUAAUUUAUAUAUAAAAAAAAAUGAAAAGUAAGAAAUGUAGAUAAAGUGCUAGAUCAAGUUCAAGGAGGAAAAAAUUGCUCUGAUUUA
ensembl:lncRNA